CACGUAGGGUGCAAGCGUUGUCCGGAAUUAUUGGGCGUAAAGAGCUCGUAGGCGGUUUGUCGCGUCUGCUGUGAAAACCCGAGGCUCAACCUCGGGCCUGCAGUGGGUACGGGCAGACUAGAGUGCGGUAGGGGAGAUUGGAAUUCCUGGUGUAGCGGUGGAAUGCGCAGAUAUCAGGAGGAACACCAAUGGCGAAGGCAGAUCUCUGGGCCGUAACUGACGCUGAGGAGCGAAAGCAUGGGGAGCGAACAGG
rnacentral:rRNA from 1 species